UACAGAGGUCUCAAGCGUUGUUCGGAUUUAUUGGGCGUAAAGGGCGCGUAGGCGGCGGGGUAAGUCGGGUGUGAAAUCUCAGGGCUCAACCCUGAAACUGCACUUGAUACUGCUCUGCUUGAGGACUGGAGAGGAGACUGGAAUUCACGGUGUAGCAGUGAAAUGCGUAGAUAUCGUGAGGAAGACCAGUGGCGAAGGCGGGUCUCUGGACAGUUCCUGACGCUGAGGUGCGAAGGCCAGGGGAGCAAACGGG
rnacentral:rRNA from 1 species